CGGACUCAGGCUGGGGAAUGGGAAGAGAGGUGGCCCGUAGCCCCCAGACAGCAGGCAGUGCAGAGGCCUCUGGGAAAUAGAAACACAGGAUCGAGCAGUCUACACUUGAUUACAGUUCCCAAGAAUUUGACCCGCUUAACUCAUUAGCCACCGAAGCUGUUUUCCCUGGACCCUCCUGCUCACGACGCUAAGUGAAUGGGUGAGAGUCUGUGCCCUAAGAGCCAGAUUUUGCCUUUGUAACUCCUGUGGGGUUUCACUCUCUGUAAACCCCUAUAGGCCAGCUCCUGCCUAAGAAAAGAAGAGAAAGAUCUCUGCCACCCUGGGAUCCUUCUCCCUGCCCAGCUUAGCCUGCAGAGGACCAAGGCCCGGCACAAGCAGAGAGCCCAGAGCCAGAGGGAACCACCCCUGGGAGCCGCAGACCCCCACCCCAGAUGCACCUACCUCACAGACAGAACACACACUUCCUCCCUGAUUCCACAGGGAGAUACGUCCCACAAUGAGACAUUUCUCAGCUUUAUUCCAAAUGAUGAUACAAAAUGCUGCUCACAAAAUUCCAUGCGGCUCUUCCCGACUCUGGUUUCAAGAGUUCCCAGAGAAGAUGUGGUCUCCUAUUUUGAGGAAAGGGAAGCACCAUGGCUGCUGGAGAAAGAAGGCUGAGGAGCCGCUGUCCAGAUGCGAAAUGAAACUCAUUCUCUUUGGCCCAACCCUCCAUCUCCCUGCAUUCCCAGUGCUGUCCGUGGCAUCCUCCCAUCACUGUGUGCCUUCUCAGAGAAUCUAGGGGCCCCUCUCUAGGGGACCUGGCCAGAGGUUGGUCUCUGUUUCUAAACC